rnacentral:rRNA from 1 species
UACGGAAGGCAGCAGUGGGGAAGUAUUGCACAAUGGGCGCAAGCCUGAUGCAGCCAUGCCGCGUGUAUGAAGAAGGCCUUCGGGUUGUAAAGUACUUUCAGUCGUGAAGGAAGGUGUUAAGGUUAAUAACCUUAGCAAUUGACGUUAGCGACAGAAGAAGCACCGGCUAACUCCGUGCCAGCAGCCGCGGUAAUACGGAGGGUGCGAGCGUUAAUCGGAAUUACUGGGCGUAAAGGGCACGCAGGCGGUUAAUUAAGUUGGAUGUGAAAUCCCCGGGCUUAACCUGGGAAUGGCAUUCAAGACUGGUUAGCUAGAGUCUUGUAGAGGGGGUAGAAUUCCAUGUGUAGCGGUGAAAUGCGUAGAGAUGUGGAGGAAUACCGGUGGCGAAGGCGGCCCCUGGACAAAGACUGACGCUCAUGUGCGAAAGCGUGGGGAGCAAAACAGGGAUUAGAUA